rnacentral:rRNA from 1 species
GAUGAACGCUGGCGGCGUGCUUAACACAUGCAAGUCGAACGAAGCACUUUAUUUGAUUUCCUUCGGGACUGAUUAUUUUGUGACUGAGUGGCGGACGGGUGAGUAACGCGUGGGUAACCUGCCUUGUACAGGGGGAUAACAGUUGGAAACGGCUGCUAAUACCGCAUAAGCGCACGGCAUCGCAUGAUGCAGUGUGAAAAACUCCGGUGGUAUAAGAUGGACCCGCGUUGGAUUAGCUAGUUGGUGAGGUAACGGCCCACCAAGGCGACGAUCCAUAGCCGGCCUGAGAGGGUGACCGGCCACAUUGGGACUGAGACACGGCCCAAACUCCUACGGGAGGCAGCAGUGGGGAAUAUUGCACAAUGGGCGAAAGCCUGAUGCAGCGACGCCGCGUGAGCGAAGAAGUAUUUCGGUAUGUAAAGCUCUAUCAGCAGGGAAGAUAAUGACGGUACCUGACUAAGAAGCACCGGCUAAAUACGUG